rnacentral:rRNA from 1 species
GACGAACGCUGGCGGCGUGCCUAAUACAUGCAAGUAGAACGCUGAAGGAGGAGCUUGCUCUUCUGGAUGAGUUGCGAACGGGUGAGUAACGCGUAGGUAACCUGCCUGGUAGCGGGGGAUAACUAUUGGAAACGAUAGCUAAUACCGCAUAAAAUUGAUUAUUGCAUGAUAGUCAAUUAAAAGGUGCAAUUGCAUCACUACCAGAUGGACCUGCGUUGUAUUAGCUAGUUGGUGAGGUAACGGCUCACCAAGGCAACGAUACAUAGCCGACCUGAGAGGGUGAUCGGCCACACUGGGACUGAGACACGGCCCAGACUCCUACGGGAGGCAGCAGUAGGGAAUCUUCGGCAAUGGACGGAAGUCUGACCGAGCAACGCCGCGUGAGUGAAGAAGGGUUUCGGAUCGUAAAGCUCUGUUGUAAGAGAAGAACGAGUGUGAGAGUGGAAAGUUCACACUGUGACGGUAUCUUACCAGAAAGGGACGGCUAACUACGUG